rnacentral:rRNA from 1 species
UACGGGGGGGGCAAGCGUUGUUCGGAAUUACUGGGCGUAAAGCGCGCGUAGGCGGCUUUGUAAGUUAGAGGUGAAAGCCCGGGGCUCAACCCCGGAACUGCCUUUAAGACUGCAUCGCUUGAAUCCGGGAGAGGUGAGUUGGAAUUCCGAGUGUAGAGGUGAAAGUUCGUAGAUAUUCGGAAGAACACCAGUGGCGAAGGCGGCUCACUGGACCGGUAUUGACGCUGAGGUGCGAAAGCGUGGGGAGCAAACAGG